rnacentral:rRNA from 1 species
AUAAAUAAGCGGAGGAAAAGAAACCAAACGGGAUUCCCUUAGUAACGGCGAGCGAAAAGGGAAAUGUCCAGCACCAAGUCUUGACAUGUAGGGUGUUCAAGAGAUGCGGUGUUAAUGUAUCGACCCAUCGUGCACUGUUCCACAUUUCAAGUUCCCACGACCGGGACUUCCAGAGCGGGUGUAAGACCCAUAGAGAUGAGGAACCAGUGUAUGCUGAGCGAUGCAUUCUAGAGUCAGGUUGCUUGAGAGUGCAGCUUAAAGUCGGUGGUAAACUCCAUCCAAGACUAAAUAUUACAGCGAGACCGAUAGCAAACAAGUACCGUGAGGGAAAGUUGCAAAGCACUUUGAAGAGAGAGUUCAAAAGUACGUGAAACCACUGGGAGGCAAACAGAUGGAACCACGAAGUGUGCGCCUCGGUCGAUUCAAUCAUCACCAUUGGUCAGUUUUUGUAGGUUAGUAUCUUUUYGGAGAUUGAUCUGCAAAAACUAUGACAAGUGGUGUUGGUGCAUUUCGUGCCGGGGAUGCAAAGCCACGUUCAACUAGAGUUGGGACGGCUGUAAGAAAGAAUCCGAGAAAGGUGACCGUCACGUGCUUGCAUUUGACGGCGUUAUAGUCUUGGAUUGGCACCGUCRCCAAACAUACUGGUUGAUGCAAGUUCUCCAUUUGGAGUUGAACCAUGUCUGCCUGUGGCUGUUAGUCGAUGUUGCGUAAUGUUCUUUGCGUAUCUUUCGAUGCGAAAAGACUUUGCAAAAAUGUCGGCUAGUGGUUGCUUGCGUGACAUGGURGAACUGUGGCGUGAGUAGGUCGGUCUCCAUCUGACCCGUCUUGAAACACGGACCAAGGAGCCUAUCAUAUACGCGAGUCGCUCGGUCUUGUUUAGGCCUGGGAGGCGUAAUGAAAGUAAAGUUACGAGACUGUAACARGUYGCAGUAACGGCUCGCCCACUUUGUUUAUUGGCAAUAUGGCGAAGCUGGAGCGUAUACGAUGGUACCCGAAAGAUGGUGAACUAUGCCUGGGCAAGACGAAGCCAGAGGAAACUCUGGUGGAGGUCUGUAGCGAUUCUGACGUGCAAAUCGAUCGUCAGACCUGGGUAUAGGGGCGAAAGACUAAUCGAACCAUCUAGUAGCUGGUUCCCUCCGAAGUUUCCCUCAGGAUAGCAGGCGUUUUUUGUUGCAGUCUCAUCCGGUAAAGCUAAUGAUUAGAGGUCUUGGGGUUGAAACGACCUCAACCUAUUCUCAAACUUUAAAUGGGUGAGAUGGUUGACUUUCUUGAUUGAAGCCAACCAUUUGGAUGCAAAUGCCUAGUGGGCCAUUUUUGGUAAGCAGAACUGGCGCUGUGGGAUGAACCAAACGUCGAGAUAAGGCAUCAAAUGCGUACGCUCAUCAGACCCCAUGAAAGGUGUUGGUUGCUAUAGACAGCAGGACGGUGGCCAUGGAAGUCGGAAUCCGCUAAGGAGUGUGUAACAACUCACCUGCCGAAGCAACUAGCCCUGAAAAUGGACGAUGCUGUAGCGUGGAGCCGAUACUCGACCGUUAUGGCGAUUUAAUUAUGAUACGAUGUCAUAACGAGUAGGAGGGCCGCAGUGUUAGCGUUGAAGGUGUCCGGCGUGAGCCGGCCUGGAGCUAUCAUUGUU